rnacentral:rRNA from 1 species
GUCCUCUUGUUUAUAUAUAUGAGGUUUGACCUGCCCAGUGAAAAUUUUUAAACGGCCGCGGUAUUUUGACCGUGCAAAGGUAGCAUAAUCAUUAGUCUUUUAAUAGGAGGCUGGUAUGAAGGGUUUGACGAGUUGUUGGCUGUCUCAUUUAAUUUGAAAUUAAAAUUUAACUUUUCAGUUAAAAGGCUGAAAUUAAUUUGGAAGACGAGAAGACCCUAUAGAGCUUUAUAAAUAAAGAUUUUAUUUAAAUUUUUGCUUAAUUAUAUUUAUUUAUAAUUUUAUUUAUUUUGUUGGGGUGACAAAAAUAUAUAUUUAACUUUUUUAUUUAUAUAACAUUGAUUUAUGAUUAUUAGAUCCAUUUAUAGUGAUUGAUAGAUUAAGUUACC